GUGCUCACUUCGGCAGCACAUAUACUAAAAUUGGAACGAUACAGAGAAGAUUAGCAUGGCCCCUGUGCAAAGAAAAUAAUAGGAGGUCAGGCAAAUGAUAUAAACUU